UUGCCUGCCCACAGGUGCUACUUGGAGAAAUUUCAGCGCCUCCUCUCCCGAUCUUCACCUGGAUCUCAUCUCUGCCUGGUUCCUCCUGGGGGUAGGCUGAGUGGGGGAUACCCAGCUCUCAUUUCCUCCUCACAACAACCUGGGAGGCCUCCCGCCUCCCCCACCCCUUAUUUCUCUGACCCCCUCUCCUUGCCUUUCCUCCUCUCUGCUGCAGCCACACUAUUCCCCUAACAUACCACCAGCCUUGCUUCUUGUCUGGGGCCUUUGCGCUGGCUGUUCUUUCUGGAAUAUUUUCCUCCCAGAUGCUGCCCGGCUCCCUCCCUCACAUAAGAUCUCAAAUGCCACUUUCUCAAUGAGGCUUACAUUGGUCAAUCCCUUUGAAGCAGCUCCCCCUUACCCUGUGCUUCCCCCCUCCCAUACUUAUCUUCUUAUAUAACAAUUACAGCAAGUCCUCAAAUAACGUUCUACAUUUUGUUAUGUUGAUUAGAUGCCGUAGGAAAUUAACUCUUGUUUAUAUCACUUAGCCAAUGGUAAAAUCAGUUUCAGUAUAUGUCCAUUCACUGCAGUUUCAAGAACCUAUCAAGAGGUUCAAGUGAGGACUGUACUUACUGCCUCUUCCCCUACUAGCAUGUAAGCACGAGACUAGAACUGUUUCCUUGCUGUUUCCCCAAUAACUUGGGCAACAAAAUAAGGAACCCGUGAGUAGGGAUCAAGAUCCCUUUUCACAAACAAGAAACGCCUGGCCUCAGUUUUCCCCGUGUACCUGGGACCAAGAGGCUGCUGGGUAGCUAGCUGAGAGCCUUUGGUGGCUAAAAGUAGUACAUGAGUGACUAAAGCCCUGAAAUUGAAGACCAGGCGUGUGCCCACAUUCAGCAAAUCCAGCAGGCCAAAGACAUGCAUUUUGACAUCAGGGACACCUCGACAGAAACGAGACUUUGGGUACCAGUAACACUGGGCAGGGUGGCGGCCAUGGCAACACCAGGAUCUUCAGUGGCCCGCCAAAGGAAAGCGCGAUCACUUUCGUGGUAUGCUUAAGAUUCCUUUCUCAUUAUCUUUCUUUCUAUAUAAUAGGUUUUUGCUUUGUGGUUACCAGGAGGCUUACAUAUAACAACUUAUUUUUUAUAGGUCUAUUUUAAGUUCAUCACUUAAGUUUGAAUGCAUUCUAAAGCUCUACAUUUUUACUUUCCCUGGCCCACAUUUUAUGUUUAACGUCACAUUUUACAUCUUUUUAUCUUGUGUAUCCCUUAGCUAAUUAUUGUAGUUACAGCUAUUUUUAGUGCUUUUGACUUUGAACCUCAUAUGAAUUUAAUAAGCAAUUAAUACACUACCUUUACUAUAUAUUUACCUGUACCUAUGAGAUUUAUACUUCCAUAUGUUUUCUUGUUACUAGUUAGCCAUUUCUUUUCAGCUUAAAUAAGUCCCUUUAACAUUUCUUAUAAGGCUGGUUUAGUGGAGGUGAAUUCCUUUAGCUUUUGCUUGUCUGGAAGACUUUCUCCUUCAAUUCUACAUUAUAACUUUAUCUAGAUAGAGAGAUAAUUCUUAGUUGGAAGCUUUUUUUCUUCCAGCACUUUGAAAAUAUUGUGCUACUCCCUUUCAGCCUGCAAAUUCCUGCUGAAAAAUCCAAUAGUCCUAUGGGGGGGGGGGGGUCCCUUGCAUAUAACAAGUUGUUUCUGUCUUGCUGAACUUUGAGGAGUCUUUCCUUGUCUUUAACUUUUGACAUGUUAAUUAUAAUGUGUCUCAGUGUGGGUCUCUCUGGAAUUCCUCGAUCUGGAUGUCUGUUUACUUUCUCAGGUUAAGGAAGUUUUCUGCCAUUAUUUCUUCAAAUAAAUCUUCUGCCUCUUUGUCUUGCUUUUUUCCUAGGACCACUAUAAUGUGAAUGGUAUUCUGCCUGAUGUUCUCCCAUAGUGCCUUACACUAGCCUCACUUGUUUUCAUCAGGGAUAAUGGCCCGUAACUCUCAUCAGGCCAUUCUUCUGUUUGUUGCUCUGAUUAGGUUAGUUCCAGAGCCCUGUCCGAGUUCACGGAUCCCUUCUUCUCAUUCGUCCAGUCUGCUGUUCUCAGUUCCCCUAUUGUAUUCUUUAGCUCCAUGACUUCUAUUUGGUACUUUAUAUUUUCUCUCUCUGUUUAAGUUCUCACUGUGUUCAUCCAUACUUCUCCCGAUACUGGUGAGCAUUUUUCUGACUAUUACUUUGAAUUCUGCCAGGUAAAUUAUGUAUCUUUGUUUCAUUAAGAUUUUCUUCUGAGGUUUUAUCAUGUUUUUCAUUUGGAACAUAUUCCUCUGUUUCUUCAUUUUGCUUGACUCUCUGUGUUGGUUUCUAAGCAUUAGAUGAAACAGGCACCUCUCCCAGUCUUGAAGGAGUGGCCUCAUGUAGGAUGAACCUUAACAUUCAACCCUGCCCAAGCUCUUAGUUGUCUCUCAAAACAACUUGUGAUCGUCCAAGCAACCUAUUUCAUUUUUAACAGCUCCCAGGGUGUGCCAAGACUUGUCAGGGUCCCAAAGGGGAGGACCUCCAUCAGCCACUAGAAUCAGGCUGACUGGAAGCCAGACCCUCAGGCAGCAGCUUUGAAAGUAUGCAAAUCUAUACAGUCCUGUGGGACCACAAGCGUAAGCCCUGCUGGCCACCACAGCCAGGCGAUCUGGAGGUGGCCCCUGGAGUUGAAAACAUCGGGGCUGCUUAUAUACUCAUAUGCUCCUUUCUGGGAGAUACUGGUGAGCUGUAGCAGGGCAGAGGGAGAGGGCAAAGAUGGUAUACCCCAGCCUACAUUCCCUGAGAGCACCUACAUAGGUACCUACAUGUGUGCCAAAUCUGAAGCCUGCCCCUGAGGCCAAAGCUCCAGGAUAAGCAAAUAGGCCUCUUUCAUAGAAAGACCAGGGGUGUGUUUCAGUCUGCUGUCUGUGCAGAGCCCUGGGGAUGGUAGCCUGCCAAGAACUGUCUCUUCAAUUGUUAUAUUCCUGUGGGACCAAGGAACACAAGCGCCCCUGGCCACCAGAGCCAGGAGAUCAAGGGGAAUCCCCUGGGCAGCAGCCACAAAAUUGGGGUACCAGAUAUGUGUAAGAACUCCCUGCGAGAGAUACUGGUGCUCUGGAGCACAGCAGAGGGCGAGCAGAAUGAUAGCAUCCACCGUCUGAGGUCUCUGGCAAGGAUUCCAGUUAGUCCUCACAUGCGUGUUUAAUUAGAAGCCUGCCCUUCAGGCUGCAGCUAUGAAGAUGAGCUAAUAAGUCUCUUUCACAGAAAGACAGCUCCUGGGUCUGUUGCUUCUUGCUCUGCCCUGAGGGUGGCAGCUGUCUGAAAACUUUCUCUAUUGGUGAGGUCCUGUGGGACCUGUGAGCAAAAGCUCCACUGGCCACCAGAGCCAGACAAUGCAGAGUUGUCCUUUGGCAGCAGCUACAAAAACCGAGGCAUCAGACGCGUAAAAGCUCCCCUCUGAGAGACACUGGCACUCUGGAGCAUGGCAGUAGGGAGAGCACAAAGAUGGCACCUGCCAGUGCCACCCCCAGAGAGUAUCCAGCAGGCCCCUGCCCCUCAGGUGACUGCUUUAGGAUUAGCAAAUGAGCCCAUUGCACAUAAAGUUGGGGUACUUUUCUAUCGGCUGUGUCUGUGCACAAGCCCUUUCUCAGUUCACCACAGCCUCAUGAAUGGGGGUCCUCUCUCAGGUGCAGGUCUUAAAAAAGCCACAGUGCCUGAUGUAGGGUUCAAACCCUUCUCCUCAGGGAGAAGCUCUGGGUUUUAGUUCUCUCCUGAUUGUGGGUCACCACACCAGGCAGUGGAAGAGAUUGUGUCUCAGCCUCUCCUACCCUCUUCGACGUGGUUUCCUUCUCACUUCCCAGAUGUGCAGGAGCUGCUCAGCUAAUUUUUAGGGUUUUUUUCCCCGAAGGGAGGAAGUGAGCUCAGGAUCUUCUUACAUCAUCAUCUUGAACUUGAACCCUCACCCAUCCAUGCAUUUCUGAAUAUGCCUUUGCUCCCUAAUCCCAAUACCUGGAAUGUACAUCCCACCCCUUUCCCCUCUCAAUUCAGCAUAAUUCUCACGGGGUUUUUUUUGAGAUUUUCCCAACCUUCAGUGGGCAGUGACCCCUCUCUUCAACUUUGUCCUAAUAGAUCACAUGAAUAUAAAACAUUGCCAACAUUGCCAACCUAUUUUAUGUCAAGGAUGGUGUCUAAUAAAGGCCAUAUUAUUUCAACCUUAUAUUUCCUGAGGCAAGUCUCACUUCACCCAAACUUAUAGUGAUGCUGCCCUCAGGGGUCGCCCAAGUUCUACAUUUCUAGCUUAGAGAGCACUGACUACACCACAGACUGGCUGAUACUACAAAUCCCUUUAGACUUAUUACUAUGGUGUUUGUAAGCACUGAAGCUGAAAUCAUGGGAGCUUUCGUCACCAAGCAUUUGUUGCAUCAUGUAAAAAGCUGUCACCUUGGGCUACGGCUGGGGGAGGGAUUAGAUAUAGGAAAGAAAAACAGAAUUUUCCAUAUUUAAAAAUCAGCAUGUAUACACUCAAUAAACUAGGAAAAGAAGACAACUUCUUCAACAUGAUCAAGUCCAUAAGGAAAUCCCAAAGCAAACAUCAUACUCAGUAGUCAAAGACUAAAAAGGCUUUUACCCUAAGAUCAGGAACAAGUCAAGGAUGCUGCUUUCACCACUUCUAUUCAAUGUAGUAUUGAACAUUUUAGCCUGAGCGAUUAGGCAAGAAAAAGAAAUAAAAGGCAUCCAAAUUGAAAAUGAAAAAGUAAAAUCAUCUGUUCAUAGAUGACAUGAGCUUAAAUGUAGAAAAUCCUAGAUUAAAAAAAAAAACCAAACUUCUAGUAUUAAUAAAUGAAUUUGGCAGUUGCAGGAUAUAAAAUCAGUAUACCAAAGAAUCAUUGUUUUUAUAAAGUAACAAUGAACAAUCCAAAAAGGAAAUUAAGACAAUUCCAUUUAUAAG